CAGCUGGCAGAGGGGUUCAUUCAUUAGCUGGAUUGUUAUGGCCUCUCUAAUCUGACAAGGACACAGCUCUCAGCUCUGACUUCCAUCAUCUUGUCCUGAGAGUGUCUCUGAGUGAAAUCUGGUAGUCAUCAGAAACAGGGAAGGAGAUGCUAUUCACUCAGAAUUCAAGAUUGCAGCAGAAAGAACUCUUGCAACACUUCUCGUCCUGCAGAUGACAAGAAAGGUGAUGAGAGAAGAACCCAGGUUACAAGGGCUCGGGGAAUGCAGGAGAGGAGAACAAGAAAUGUG
rnacentral:lncRNA from 12 species